CAGUGGGAGAACCCUCCUGUGGGCUUCAUCUUCCUGGCAGCCCAGAAAGCAGCUGAAAAUAAUUUUAAAUGCAUGACUGGCAAUUCAAGAAAAAACAGGAGGAAGGGUUGUUAUUGCUGAGGAUCUCAGCCCAGCCAGAGGAGACGUGUUCCUUUUGUGGAAUCAAACAUCCGUCAGGGAUCCAUCAUGCAAAUUUAUUUCACUUUUCUUCUUUUUUACCUAUUCCAUUGAUCCAGAGCCUGUAGCAGUUGGCUCAUGGAGAGAGAGGUUUGUUAAUUCAGGAGCCUCAGUCAGUGAGGAUGGGAAUUUGCCAAAGCUCCUGGCUCAGGGGGGUGCUUUGUGCCAUGCAUGGGGACUGUGGCACUGUGGGCUGGGACACAUCCCUCCAAAGGAGAGGGGAGAGGUAUUUGCUGUGUUCCCUGGGCAUUGUGUGUGCCUGGAGUGGCUUGGAAAGGCAGGAGAGUAGCUGCCAGCUCUGCCAAAGCUGCUUCCCACCAUGGGAAGGGACAAGGACACUUGGUCAUGCUGCUGGGACAGUCACUGCCAGCCCUGAGGGGUAAAUGUGAGUUAAACCCUUAAAAUCACAAGACGGUGUUAAAAAUAUCCAACUAUGAAAUUACACUUUAUUUUAUUAUUAUUAUUAGACUCUUCAGUCCAUCUGGGUGUUUUCAGGAGUGACCUGCCAAAUUUCUCUCUGCAGGUGGGAGGUUCAGGGUCCUGUCACUUCCAACGGCAUCUUCAUGUUGAAGAGAGAUUCCAGCCCAACUGCUGGCUGAGGAUCCAUGGCUGUGUCUUGGGGAAGGUGCCAGGCUGCCUUGCACGGUCUGAGUCUUCAGAGAAUCCCGGAACAGUUUGGGUUGGAAGGGACCGUAAAGAUCACCUUGUUCCAACCCCCUGCCAUGGGCAGGGACACCUUCCACUAGACCAGGUUACUCAAAGCCCCAUCCAACCUGGUCUUGAGUCUUCUCCUUCAUCAGUCUCUUCUCCUGGGCGUGAAGAGCAGAUGGAGCUGCCUGGGCAAGGGCCAGAAGCUGGUGCUUUCACUGCUGUGGAGAAUCUUCUGUUCUGGAAGGAAGAGCCAAACCCCUCCGGGAGCCGGAGCACAUCCAGCGGUCGGAGCCUGAGAAGCCUCACUCUCUGUGACAUUCUCUGUGUCCCUGCACCUCUUCUGCUCUGCUGGAAGCAUUGCUUUGUCCUUCAAGAAAAUUUCUUUUUUGCUUGAAUUGAGUAUUUUUAUUCUUUUUCCCCCCCAAAAACCCAUCUCUGUGUGUCUUUGCAGGCCAGCUCUGGUUUGCUGUGGGACGCAGAGGCCAAGCCCUCAGCUGAUGACUCCGGAUGAGUUAAGACACAUGUGGGUGUCCCCACCACGUGGGCUUAUGUGGCUGCAGAGGAGCUGCUGAGCAUCCCUGCUGCCGGGAGAACCAGGGAGAUUCCUCAUUAAAACAAUUUGGGAGACGUUCAUCCGAACAGAAAUCUGAAUUUAUUCUGCUCGCGCUGCCUCUCCUCUGUCUCCUCUUCCUCAGGCAGCGGAAUUUGCUGGUAUCGCCUCCUUUCCCCGGGCUUCUCCUCAGCCCCAGCAAUGACUUGUCUGAAUAAUUCAACUGAAAAUUCAGGAUCGCAAGUAAAUACGGGAUAAUUGCUAAGAGCUCCCAGGCAAUCCGCUGCCAGAGGGCGGCUAAACUCCCGGUGAAUUAUUUAUCCGCUGUGAAUUAUUUGCCUGGCCCUGCUACGGAAGAAAAGCUCCUUCCCAGCCUUUGCCUGAUGAAUGGCCUGGCUGGGGGCGACUCUCCGGGUGCUGACUCAACCCUUUCCCAGCUCCCUGCCUGCUCCUGCUGCCUGCAGCUCCCGCUGCUGGGUGCCUGGGUCGGCGCGUGGCCCUGGGGAGGCGAAGUGCCGGAUGGGGGCUGGAGCCACCUCCUCCUGCAGGCAAGGUUUUUCAGCUCUUUGGUCUCUUCAGAAGCAUGGAGACCACCCCUGGGACUCCUCCCGAGGGAGUGUGGGGGCUGGGGGGUGCUGCCCCUCUCCUCUAGCUGCGGUGAUCUGGGGGCUUUCCAUGGAGCUGGCAGUGAGGGAUGUGGUGUUGAGGUGUCUGAACAGGAGCUGGAGAGGUUCAAGGUUUGUCGCUGUCAUUGCUGCUGUUCCCAGCUUUCCAGCAGGUUUGCUCUGCAGAGAGCUGCAGGUUGGCUAUGAAAUAUGACAAAGCGUUCAUUUAAAUGCACACCAUGAUGUCGGCGAGUCCAUUAGGGGAAUUAAUUUGAAUGGUUGGCAUUUAAUAAACAGCCUCGUCCCUCCUCUCCACACACAACCCUCCCCCCCCCACCACCACUACCGCCAGCAUCUUGGAAGGGUUAAAAAGAAACCACAUGUGGAUAUUGGAAGGAGUGGGGAGCAGGUAUCUGGGUCUGGGGAAUGGGGGGGGGGGGAAUAAUAGAAGAGAUCUGGUGUUAUAAGAAAAAUUGCAGUUUGUUUUGUUCGCGGUAAAAAAAAGCACAUGUGGAAGGGUUUUGGGUUCACGGGGUGUUUGGUGCAUGGAGAAAACAAGGGGGUGAAGGAGGAGGACACGCUCCGGCCGGAGGGUCCCAGCCUGGCUCCGAACACGCCGGGCUAGGGGGAGGCGAGGGGGCUCCAGGGACGUGGCUCCCCAUAUGGUGUGUAUUACAAGCUCCUUUCUAGUUGUAAAGAUUAAUUUAAAGCCUUUCUCACCUCCCCCCCAUCCCUCUUCCAUUGACAAAUGAACAUCUGGGCUGAAUGCUGCCCAGAUCCUAAUCAAAGCAUUUUUUCCAGGGCCGUUGUCUGCCUUUAUGGCUAUCUGCUCUUCGGGUGCUCUGCAGUUCCAAUGCACUUGGCAAUUCAGCCUGUAAAUACCCCUCUCCGGGAUUUAUGAUUUGGGAUAAUGUGAUUUUUCUCUUUGCCUCUGGAUUCGUUUGUUUGGUUUAGUUUAACGACAUUUCCUUGUCUGUGCAUAAGUGAGGGCACGCAGGGAAUUUUUUUCCCCUCCCCUCUUUGCAGGGAUCUAUUAGCAAUGAGCAAAAAUGGCUUUUUUGGGGAGCUGAUGGACACGCCGGGGGGGCCAAAGCCAGUCCUGAAUCCCUGAUGAGCAACCCCAGUCAUCCUAAACCAUCUAUUUUUUCCUACAGAAAGCUUGUUUUUGAGGUUUUAUCGAGAAAGCAGCUUUCCACCAAAGCAAAGCCAAGCCCUUUCCACAAUGUUUGAGGGCUACUUCAUCAGGGAGAGGCAGCAGGAGGCACAGUCCAGUAUGGAAAAGCUGUUUGCUUCCCAAAAUGAGGCUCGAGAAGCCAAAUGAGAUGCUUGAAAAACUGGGAGUGCUGCGGCUGGAAUCCCAUUCCCAUCAGACUUGAUUUUUCCCCUGCAAGCUCCAGUUUGGGAGUUAAAGGAUUAAUAUAUAAAACCUUAGGUGUUGAACAAUGUUUGUCAUGUCCCAGGUGCUGUAGGAAAGGAUGGUGCUUGAGAUGGGGCAAAAAGGCAGGAAAAUCCCUUUAAGGCAAAUACAGGGACUCACAGGGGAUGUGGCACCGGUCCUGUGUUUUCCCUGUCCCUGAAGGGGGAGAGAGCUGGGAAACACAAAGAUGAUGGGUUUGGGGUACUCUUGCAGAAAUUCUGCUCCCUGGACCUGGGCUUCCCUUUCCUUCUGGCAGAAUGGCAAGGUCAGUUGCUCAUCCCAAUGGAUGGUGUGUGAUUUCAGUCCAUUUAAACCACUACAGAGGUCGUGUUUAUACACCAAGUGCGUGGGGUAAUGGCACCUGUAAUUAAAAACGUUCUCCCAAGGGAAACAAAAAAUCACUGUGGUGGAAAGCUCUUGGCUGCUCCUCCUUGGCUCUCCAGGACAAGGUGCAAUCUGGAUUUUGGUGAUGCAGGGCUGGGAAUCAUCCAUCACUGGGACCCUCUCCACCCAGGGAUGUCACUGGGGAAGCAGAGAUGCAGGUAAAUCCCCCAUCACAGGCCCUGGGCUUGUUUUUCCUAAGAAACUCUGAAUUUCACACAAAUACAAGGAGCUGGGAUGCAGCAGAGAGAUCCCUGAAAGUGAAUCUGGGAAUAUGGAGAGCCAGAGCUGGGCUCACGAGGGGUGUGGGGCUGAGGUGACCCCAGCACCGACCCUGGAUGAGGGCAGCUCCCUGUGCAGAGUUCCAUAGGCAGGGAAGCACCUUCUUGAUUAUCCAGAGGAGGCUCUGGGGUGAAUUUUAAUUUCUUUUCAUUUUUGUUGUUGAUUUUUAGAGUGUUUGGCACCUCCUGCCUCUUUUUCAUUCCUUUCCUCCUUGAUUCCGUCCAAAUGAGCAGGAAGCAAGGCUGCUGACCAUGGAUCUUCCCAGCAAUGCCGUUGCUGUCCUGUCCACCCCGAGGUAAGGGUGAAGUCUGGCAUCCAUCUGCAGCUGAGCCAGUGCAUCCAUGAGGUGAGAGUGGCCACCGGCAGCUCCAGGGAAGAGGCCCCAAUUUCUCCCCUGUCGAGGCAAACGCUUUGGCUAAUUAGCAAAACGUGUCAAAGAAAAUGAUUAAUGUCCCGGGAGGAGGUUGAGCUGCCUUUGUGCCGGCAUUGCCUGACUUCUGCUCUUAAAGGUUUUAUUAAAAGAUAAGGGAGCUCGUGACGGGAGACUGGGAAAAGGAGCGCCCUCCCUCUGGAAGCAGCGGGGUUUGAGCUCUCGCCUGUGACGCAGUUUUGCUCGUAGAUAUAAAUAAAAACAUAAAUAUAUAUAUAUUA